rnacentral:rRNA from 1 species
AGGGCACCACCAGGAGUGGAGCCUGCGGCUUAAUUUGACUCAACACGGGAAAACUUACCUGGUCCUGACACUAGAAGGAUUGACAGAUUGAUAGCUCUUUCUUGAUUUGGUGGAUGGUGGUGCAUGGCCGUUCUUAGUUGGUGGAGUGAUUUGUCUGGUUAAUUCCGAUAACGGACGGGACUCUAGCCUAUUAAAUAACACGCAGAAUCUUGUCUUCUGCGGUGUUUCUUAAUGGGAUCAAGUGUGUUUAACGCUUUGAAACAGAGCAAUAACAGGUCUGUGAUGCCCUUAGAUGUUCGGGGCUGCACGCGCGCUACAUUGAAAGACAAAAUGAGCCUUCUAGUUUUUAAUAAAGCUAGUAAUCUUUGAAUGUUUUUCUUAAUGGGGAUAGGGGAUUGCAAUUGUGCCCCUUGAACGAGGAAUUCCCAGUAAGUGCUAAUCAUUAGUUAGUACUGAUUACGUCCCUGCCCUUUGUACACACCGCCCGUCGCUACUACCGAUUGAAUGGUUUAGUGAGAU